rnacentral:rRNA from 1 species
UGGUGGAUUGAUUUGUCUGGUUUAUUCCGUUAACGAACGAGACCUUAACCUAUUAAAUAGUAAUCUAACGAACAAUCUUUUAAAAAUCAUAUUGAUUUUUAAAAUUAUAAAUAAGAGAGUGUAAUUACUUCUUAAAGGGACAUUUCAUGUCUAAUGAAAGGAAGAUUGAGGCAACAACA